UACGAAGGGGGGCUAGCGUUGUUCGGAUUUACUGGGCGUAAAGCGCACGUAGGCGGAUCGUUAAGUCGGGGGUGAAAUCCUGGAGCUCAACUCCAGAACUGCCUUCGAUACUGGCGAUCUUGAGUCCGGAAGAGGUGAGUGGAACUCCUAGUGUAGAGGUGGAAUUCGUAGAUAUUAGGAAGAACACCAGUGGCGAAGGCGGCUCACUGGUCCGGUACUGACGCUGAGACGCGAAAGCGUGGGGAGCGAACAGG
rnacentral:rRNA from 1 species